rnacentral:lncRNA from 1 species
AGGCCUCCAUUGACGACGGUGAGAGAUUUUUCUGAGGGGUUUUGUGGGUGUUUUUCCAUUGCUGGGGGAGAAGAGACAUUAGAGAGGUUUGAGGGGAGCGAGAGGAGGUGUUUUUGGCUGCCAUUCUUGAGGAUUUACAGCUCCCGGAGAAUCAAGUAUUUUGGCUUCAAGGGAGGCAUUCAGGUUUGAUCAUCUCCCACUUGAGGUUUCCUCACUUUUACAGUCAUACUUUAACCAUUUCUGAUGUUUGAGAUCCUCAUUUUUUACUGUCUAGAAUUUUAAGCUGGUUUCUCAUCUUUGUUUGUUUGAUCUCUAUUUAUUCCUGUGCUAGUUACAUGAUGUUCAUGCUAUCUCCUUACAUGUGGAAACCACUGAUCUAUCUCACCAGUUUUUUUUUAAGCUCUUUGGUUUCCAUGAAAUAAAGCUAUGUUUAAUGUCAUUAUCUGCUUUUGUUCACAUUCUAUUUCUCUUCAUUUUCCUCUCUGUUCCUGGUACUUUUGGAGUGGGUAUCCCUUUUGGGCUGGUCGUCUGGAUUGAAAGG